AUUGAACGCUGGCGGCAGGCUUAACACAUGCAAGUCGAGCGGUAACAGUCCUUCGGGAGCUGACGAGCGGCGGACGGGUGAGUAACGCGUAGGAAUGUACCCUAUAGUGGGGGAUAGCCCGGGGAAACCCGGAUUAAUACCGCAUACGUCUUCGGAUAAAAGGUGGCCUCUAUUUAUAAGCUAUCGCUAUAGGAUCAGCCUGCGUAAGAUUAGCUAGUUGGUGGGGUAAGAGCUCACCAAGGCGACGAUCUUUAGCUGGUUUGAGAGGAUGAUCAGCCACACUGGGACUGAGACACGGCCCAGACUCCUACGGGAGGCAGCAGUGGGGAAUAUUGGGCAAUGGGCGCAAGCCUGACCCAGCCAUGCCGCGUGUGUGAAGAAGGCUCUAGGGUUGUAAAGCACUUUAAGUUGUGAGGAAAGGUUCUAGGCUAAUAUCCUAAAACUGUGACGUUAACAACAGAAUAAGCACCGGCUAACUCCG
rnacentral:rRNA from 1 species